rnacentral:lncRNA from 1 species
GACUUUUUUUUAACAAAUCUUGUAUGUAUGGUACAUCGACUUGUUUAACCAUUUGUGGCUUGGUAAGUUUUAGUUCUUCUAGAGAUGUUUGGCUAAAGGGUAGAUGUUGUUUCUUGUUGCUUCUGUUGUUUCGCCAUGUAAGUACCAUCAAGAAACUAAAAAAGGACUCUCUAAAGCUCCCAAUUGGUAACUAUCUAUUCUGAUACGAUCAUGAAAGAUUGGUAUGUUAGAAUGUAAAUAGACUUCUCUCACUUUAUUUU